AACAUAGUGAUGUACACACAAGCUUGACAAUAGAUAAAACCCUUUCCGUACCAGAGGAUUUAAGGGAAUUUGUUUUAUUCCUAGCAUUAUAGUCCCGCCUCGCUUGCAGCAGCCCCUCCCUUCCUGUAGUGAUGAAAGGGUUAAAAACCCUUUUGUCACUUACCUGAAACCAGCGCCAAUGUUCCUUGGUGCUGGUUCAGGCUCCUCCUCCGCCGAUAUCAGCCAG